UACGAAGGGGGCUAGCGUUGCUCGGAAUUACUGGGCGUAAAGGGAGCGUAGGCGGAUAGUUCAGUCAGAGGUGAAAGCCCAGGGCUCAACCUUGGAAUUGCCUUUGAUACUGGCUGUCUGAGUAUGGGAGAGGUUAGCGGAACUCCGAGUGUAGAGGUGAAAUUCGUAGAUAUUCGGAAGAACACCAGUGGCGAAGGGCGGACUGAAC
rnacentral:rRNA from 1 species